rnacentral:rRNA from 1 species
GAUGAACGCUGGCGGCGUGCCUAAUACAUGCAAGUCGAGCGAACAGAUGAGGAGCUUGCUCCUCUAACGUUAGCGGCGGACGGGCGAGUAACACGUGGAUAACCUACUUCUAUUUCUGGGAGAACUACGGAAAACAGGUUACACUAAUGGAUAAUACAUUCAACGGCAUGAUUCAAUGGAGCUAGAGGCCUUUGCUGUUACAUAUAGAUGGUUCCGCGUCGGAUUAGCUAGUUGGUAAGGUAACGGCCUACCAAGGCGACGUUGCGUAGCUGACCUGAGAGGAUGAUCAGCCACACUGGAACUGAGACACGGUCCAGACUCCUACGGGAGGCAGCAGUAGGGAAUCUUGGACAAUGGGCGCAAGCCUGAUGGAGCCAUGCCGCGUGGGUGAAGAAGGUCUUCGGAUUGUAAAACCCUUUUGUUAGGGAAGAACAAAAGCGUAAGUAUACACCGCUGUCUUGACGGUACCCAAACAAUAAGCCCCGGCUAACUUCGUG